UGCCGUGUCUUGUAUUGCAGAUUUGCC
rnacentral:piRNA from 1 species